UACAGAGGUCCCAAGCGUUGUUCGGAUUCAUUGGGCGUAAAGGGUGCGUAGGCGGCGCGGUAAGUCGGGUGUGAAAUCUCGGGGCUUAACUCCGAAACUGCAUUCGAUACUGCCGUGCUUGAGGACUGGAGAGGAGACUGGAAUUUACGGUGUAGCGGUGAAAUGCGUAGAUAUCGUAAGGAAGACCAGUGGCGAAGGCGGGUCUCUGGACAGUUCCCUGACGCUGAGGCACGAAGGUCAGGGGAGCAAACGGG
rnacentral:rRNA from 1 species